rnacentral:rRNA from 1 species
CCUGUAGGGGGACGCAGGAAGGUAGAUGAACCCGGGCGAUGGUUGUCCCGGGGUAAGCGUGUAGGGAGAGGUGUAGGCAAAUCCGCACCUCACAUAUCCUGAGACGUGACACCGAGUCGUUUAGACGAAGUCAUUGAUCCUAUGCUGCCAAGAAAAGCCCAGCAGUUAGUUCAUAGAGUGCCCGUACCCCAAACCAACACAGGUGGAUAGGUAGAGAAUACCAAGGCGAUUGGGUGAACUGUGGUUAAGGAACUCGGCAAAAUGCAUGCGUAACUUCGGGAUAAGCAUGACCUCAUUAGGGUGAUGGGACUUGCUCCCUGAGCUCGAAGAGGUGGCACAGAAUUGGGGGAAGCGACUGUUUACUAAAAACACAGCAGCGUGCUAAGCCGUAAGGCGCUGUAUACGCUGUGACGCCUGCCCGGUGCUGGAAGGUCACGGGGAAGGGUUAGCUCUUAGGAGCGAAGCUCUGAACCUAAGCCCCAGUAAACGGCGGCCGUAACUAUAACGGUCCUAAGGUAGCGAAAUUCCUUGUCGGGUAAGUUCCGACCUGCACGAAUGGCGUAACGACUUCCCUACUGUCUCAACCACAGACCCAGCGGAAUUGAAGUACGAGUAAAGAUGCUCGUUAGCUGCAGAAGGACGAAAAGACCCCGUGGACCUUUACUAUAGCUUGAUAUUGAGUUUUGUUAUGCGUUGUGUAGGAUAGGUGGGAGGCUAGGAAGCAUGCACGCCAGUGUGUGUGGAGCCAACCUUGAAAUACCACCCUGCGUAUGGCGGGACUCUAACCUAGAUCCGUUAUCCGGAUCGGGAACAGUGUCAGGUGGGUAGUUUGACUGGGGCGGUCGCCUCCUAAAGAGUAACGGAGGCGCCCAAAGGUUCCCUCAGACUGGUUGGCAAUCAGUCGUCGAGUGCAAUGGCAUAAGGGAGCUUGACUGCGAGACGUACAUGUCGAGCAGGUGCGAAAGCAGGGCAUAGUGAUCCGGCGGUUGCGUGUGGAAGCGCCGUCGCUCAACGGAUAAAAGGUACCCCGGGGAUAACAGGCUAAUCUUCCCCAAGAGUCCAUAUCGACGGGAAGGUUUGGCACCUCGAUGUCAGCUCAUCGCAUCCUGGGGCUGAAGCAGGUCCCAAGGGUUGGGCUGUUCGCCCAUUAAAGCGGUACGCGAGCUGGGUUUAGAACGUCGCGAGACAGUUCGGUCCCUAUCCUCUGCAGCCGGAAGUGACUUGAGAAUAGCUAUCCCUAGU